AUUGAACGCUGGCGGCAGGCCUAACACAUGCAAGUCGAACGGUAACAGGAAACAGCUUGCUGUUUCGCUGUCGCGUGGCGCGCGGGUGUGUAAUGUCUGUGAAACUGCCUGAUGGCGGGGGAUAACUCCUGGAAACGGUAGCUCAUACCGCAUAACGUCGCAACACCAAAGAGGGGGACCUUCGGGCCUCUUGCCAUCAGCUGUGCGCAGAUGGGAUUAGCUAGUAGGUGGGGUAACGGCUCACCUAGGCGACGAUCCCUAGCUGGUCUGAGAGGAUGACCAGCCACACUGGAACUGAGACACGGUCCAGACUCCUACGGGAGGCAGCAGUGGGGAAUAUUGCACAAUGGGCGCAAGCCUGAUGCAGCCAUGCCGCGUGUAUGAAGAAGGCCUUCGGGUUGUAAAGUACUUUCAGCGGGGAAGAAGGGAGGAAAGUUAAUACCUUUGCGUAUUGACGGUACCCACAGAAGAAGCACCGGCUAACUUCGUG
rnacentral:rRNA from 1 species